rnacentral:rRNA from 1 species
CGGCGGCCGUAACUAUAACGGUCCUAAGGUAGCGAAAUUCCUUGUCGGGUAAGUUCCGACCCGCACGAAAGGCGUAAUGAUUUGAGCACUGUCUCGACAAUGCAUCCGGUGAAAUUGAAGUACCAGUGAAGAUGCUGGUUACCCGCGCCAGGACGGAAAGACCCCAUGGAGCUUUACUCCAGUUUAGUACUGGGAUUCGGUACUGCAUGUACAGGAUAGGUGGGAGACUAAGAAGCAAGGACGCCAGUCUUUGUGGAGUCAAUGUUGGGAUACCACCCUUGUAGUAUUGGGUUUCUAACCAGUCACCGUGAUCCGGUGAUGGGACAAUGCUAGGCGGGGAGUUUGACUGGGGCGGUCGCCUCCGAAAGGGUAUCGGAGGCGCUCAAAGGUUCCCUCAGAAUGGUUGGAAACCAUUUGAAGAGUGCAAAGGCAGAAGGGAGCUUGACUGUGACACCGACGGGUGGAGCAGGUACGAAAGUAGGACUUAGUGAUCCGGUGGUAUAACGUGGGAUUGCCAUCGCUCAACGGAUAAAAGCUACCCUGGGGAUAACAGGCUUAUCACUCCCAAGAGUUCACAUCGACGGAGUGGUUUGGCACCUCGAUGUCGGCUCAUCGCAUCCUGGGGCUGUAGCAGGUCCCAAGGGUUGGGCUGUUCGCCCAUUAAAGCGGUACGCGAGCUGGGUUCAGAACGUCGUGAGACAGUUCGGUCCCUAUCCGGCGCGGGCGGAGGAUAUUUGAGAGGAGCUGCCCCUAGUACGAGAGGACCGGGGUGGACGGACCACUGGUGUAUCAGCUGUCUACCAAAGGCAUAGCUGGGUAGCCAAGUCUGGACUGGAUAAACGCUGAAGGCAUCUAAGCGUGAAGCCAACCUCAAGAUGAGAUAUCCCCUCCUUUAAGGAGAUAAGAUCCCUUGUAGAGUACAAGGUAAAUAGGGCAGAGGUGGAAGUGCAGUAAUGCAUGUAGCUGACUGUUACUAAUCGAUCGAAGGCU